rnacentral:rRNA from 1 species
UACGUGGGGUGCAAGCGUUGCUCGGAAUUAUUGGGCGUAAAGGGUAGGUAGGUGGUCUCAUUUGUCUGAGGUGAAAGCCUUGAGCUCAACUCAAGAAGUGCCUUAGAAACGGUGAGACUAGAGUUCUGGAGAGGGUCGUGGAAUUCCCGGUGUAGCGGUGAAAUGCGUAGAGAUCGGGAGGAACACCAGAGGCGAAGGCGGCGACCUGGACAGAUACUGACACUCAACUACGAAAGCGUGGGGAGCAAACAGG